UAACCCACUGAACAAGGCCAGGGACCGAACCUGCAACCUCAUGGUUCCUAGUCGGAUUCAUUAACCACUGUGCCACGACAGGAACUCCAGUGAUGGGUCUUUAUUGCAGAGGCCGGACUCAUCCCCUGUAAUGUAGGAAAGGGCAAAGGGAAUGGCUGUAAAGUUGGUGUGAGGGGUGGGCUAGCCAAGGGCCUUGAAUUAAAAGAGAUUGAGGCCUGGGACAAGAUAGAGACCCAUGCAGGGGUCCACUUUCUGGGCUGGAAUUGGGAACGGGAUGCUUGAGGAGGCCAGUAUGUCUCCGGGGACUGGCCCUCUGGGAGCCCUCACGGAUCGUGCCUUGAAAAGUGACAUGUGUGUCUGAAAGUCCAAAGGGAAUGAGCAGGUCCUGGCCAGGCCCCACAUCCUGGCCUUAGUGCAUGUGGAGACAGGUGAUUAAAAGGUGUAGUCGGGGUGUCUGUGGAAUAAGAGAUUCCCAGAGUUCUUCACUCCAAAGGGAGGAAUUUUUUGGUGAUGGCUGGCCAGUGUAUGAUCCACGUGAAAAUGGGCCGCUUGUUCAAGGCACCCACUGCUAAGACAGCUGCGUGGAGUUGGGCCCUGUGUGUGGACCUCUGGGUCUGACCGUUGUCGGGGCUGAGGGGCAGGAAGCCUCAGCACUGCACUGACCCCAGUGCUGCUUGCACAGUCCACGAAGUCCUACCGCUAUUGCUCGGGCGGACCCAAGGGGUUCCCCGGGUGGCCAAGGGUCUGGGGGAAGAGUGUGCGGCCACCAGAAGCCAACAAGGACUAAAAGAUGUCAGCCCGGUGUGUCAGGUGGAUCUCCUUGUGAGAAAGGCUGGCUGCGGGGGGCUGAGGGAAGCUUGGAGAGGAGGCAAGCGUGUCCCUUGGGCUGGUGGCAACUGCAGCCGAGAGGCUAGGGCAGGGCACAGAUUGAGCAAAAUGCUUUGGUAGUUGGUUGGGUUGAGUCCAUAAUUUCAGCAGUCUUAGCAUUUGGGUGUGGGGGCCCUAAUGGUGGGGCCAGAGCUGCAGGGCUGUGGAUUCCGACCACGAGGGACCCUUGACUUUCCCAGGUUAAAGAACACAGGAUUGGGCUGCAUUUUCUCUCCUCCGUGCCCUUAGAGUGGUUUUUUCCUUUUCUCCUGCCUCAUUUAUUUUUCUGUUGGGCUUUUUGUCUCUGGAUCCGGCUGGCGAGAGGACCAGGGGCUCUGCUGGCCAGACCAUCCGUCUUUCUGCCCUUUUUCGUCUCUGAAAUCUGGCCCGUGUCUCUAAGCAGGCAGUUUGUCUCGGUCCUGUCACCUCACCGUGUCUGAUGAAAACAAAUCCUGGGCACAAACUUUCGAACAAAGAUGCAAUGCUGCUGCCUUUGAUGAGGAAGGAAGGGGCCAGGUGCCCAGGAACGCCGGGAAUGCGGCUCUAGCAGCUGGAGGGACCGUGGUCCUGCCCACACCCUGAACACACCCAGGGGCUCCUGCUGGCCGAGACUGGGGCUGUGAUGCCAGAGCAGUGGGGACAGCGGGGCCCAGGGCAAAGACGGACAGAGGCACUGCAGGGACUCAGUGGCCUGUGUUCUCAGUGGGCCUCACUCAUGUGCUCACAAGUUUUGAUAAAACCUGCUGAAUGAAGACAAAGUGACCACAGGGGCUCCCACACGGUCGGGUCCCCCGCCACACUUCCCCUCUUGCUGGUGGGGCGCCGGGGGGGCACUUUUGGGGUCUGGCCAAGGGGAAGUUUGGUCGUGGGAACACUGGUUGGGGGUCACUGGGGUACACGUGUGUCCCUCCCAGUUGCUAGCUUAGCGACCUUCACAAAGGACACGCUGGUGCAGAAAACGGCUUCCAGGAACCCUGAAGCAAUUAACCCGGAGGAAGGAGUGAGUCACCCGACUUUUGGAAAAUGGUUAAACAGCCGCUGAUGUAGCAGGAAAUGCUGACAUCAACAAGAGAAUGCAGGCCUACCAGCCAAUGUGACGAGGACACAACGUAAGAAGUUUGGACAGAUCAGGAGGGUAUUUCAGAUUGGUUGUGGCACAAGAAAACUGUGCCACCCUGAAACCUCCCAGCUCAUAUGUGAAGAAACAUGACAAGGUUCUCUGCCGUUGUGAUAAUGGCCUUGACUUUUUUUUUCCUUUGGCCACACCUGAAGCAUGCAGACCUUCUUGGGCCAGGGGCGGAACCCGCAUCACAGCAGUGACAAUGCUGAGUUCUUAACCACCUGCACCCCAAGGGAACUCCUUUUUUCGUGAGUGUCAUUUUUUUUUAUAUAUAUAUUUUAUUUUCCCACUGUACAGCAAGUGGAUCAAAUUAUCCUUACAUGUCUUUUUUUUUUUUUUUUUUUUUUGGUUGCACUCACAGCAUAUGGAAAUUCCCAGGCCAGGUAUCAAAUCAAAUCUGAGCCACAGCUGAGCCCUAUGCCAUACUUGUGGCAACGCCAGAUCCUUAACCCACUGUACCACAGCGGGAACUCCUCCUUUGCCAAUGUCUUAAUGUUUAAUUUGUUGUGAUGUUUUUCUCUCCUUCAGAAUAAAGGUGCUCCCAAUUUUAUCGAAA